ensembl:snoRNA
UUGGCUCUGAAUCAAGGCCAACAGUUUGUUGAAGCUGUUGGUUUCAAGCCUAAAGAAAUGUCUUUCCAUGGUCUGUUAGCCAUUUCAGAAAUUUGGAAAUGUAAUGGUCUAUUCAUUAGAAAGAAACAUGU